GCCUACGGGACGCAGCAGUGGGGAAUAUUGCACAAUGGGGGAAACCCUGAUGCAGCGACGCCGCGUGAGCGAGGAAGUAUUUCGGUAUGUAAAGCUCUGUCAGCAGGGAAGAAGAAUGACGGUACCUGAAGAAGAAGCACCGGCUAAAUACGUGCCAGCAGCCGCGGUAAUACGUAUGGUGCAAGCGUUAUCCGGAUUUACUGGGUGUAAAGGGAGCGUAGACGGUUCUGCAAGUCUGAAGUGAAAGCCCGUGGCUUAACCGCGGAACGGCUUUGGAAACUGUGGAACUGGAGUGCUGGAGAGGG
rnacentral:rRNA from 1 species